GGGGCCGUAGCUCAAUAGGCAGAGCAGCGGACUCAUAAUCCGUGGGUUGCAGGUUCGAGUCCUGCCGGCCCCA
rnacentral:tRNA from 1 species